UCAAUUUUAAUCAAAUUAAACUAAAAACAACAAUUUUUUUAUUUAUUUUGAUUUGGUGAAUGUUUUAAUGAUUCGAGUGCCCAAAGAUUCCAUGAUAGCUUGACUUUCCCUCAUUUGGUAUAAUAAAGCAAUGAUAAACACUUAUUACAUCAUAUAGAUCUGGUUCGGCUGAUUAUAUGGAAAUACUUGUCCUAAAUUUGCUGACUAAAACCAAAGCCAAAAAUUGAAUAUGGAAAAACUUAAACUGGAGCGAAGCAAAAACAAUUAGGAAACAAAAUAAGGACUUGGAAUUAUUUUACUUCAAGCAAAGCAAAAAUUUAUGAAGAAAUGUUUCAACCAUUUUUAUGGAUCUUCAAAGGCAAACGAUAAAAACAUUAUUGAACUCAAAGAGUGAAAUAUCAAGCUUAUUUGACCUGAUUAGUGUCACGAGAUCUCUGUAAAGACAUUUUAAAACAAAAGCUGUUCCAUCUCUUCGAUUUCUUAGAAGUCGAAAAUGUCUUCCUGUUCUCUUUACCUUAACCUGUUUUACAUUUUUUUGGCUUUAAAAUAUCUCCUUUGAUCAACUGUAAACUACAAUCACAUUGGAAAUUAAUUAUAUAAUAAGCCUCGUGGUGGUGCUCUGAAAGUUGGAUAAGUCUAUGAUGAAUGAAAUAAAAUCAACGGUUACCCUAAACAAAUGUAAACAAUUAUUUGGCUCCGAGACAAAACACAUUUUUAAUUUCAUGGAUUAUUCAAUUAAUUGCCUUUUGUUUACUCGUCAAGGAUCAUUGCGACUCUCAGGCGAGUCACAGUUUGAAAAUAAAAUUGAUUACGGCUGUUAUUCAUCUUCCACCAAUUUCUUAAUCAUCAGCCAGUUACUCUUUUCAUCUGUAAUGCUGUUAUAACUACAAAAGAGUUAACAUUUGCUCAUCAAAUCUAGAUUGUCAUCAUCAGUCUCAAGUUACGAUUUAACUUAGCUGUGCUAAUUUUCAAAGACCUUGAUGUUUUUCUUGGAUAAGUUGGAAUCCUUCUCCUUGCCGAUUUCUUUCCAAGAGAAUAAGACAAUUUAAAGAUUGAUCACAUUUAUGAUUUACUAUCAAUUGUUGUCUUUUUGCGGAGUUCACAUCCUUUUGACAAACACCUAUGAAAAGGUUGAAUUAAAGCUGAACACAAUAAGAAGCAAAACAUUUUAUUAUGGAUAAACUGUUUUUAUUUUCAACCGACUUGUUACAUUUUUCAUACUCAAGUCAACUUUCAAAUGGAUCGCAACAAUUCAAUGAGCUGGUGGAAAAGGUGUUUAAUGUAAUAUUUAGCUGAUUAAAUUCCCGUUGAUGGCUGUAAUCGAGAAAAUUCAACUCUUGAUAGGACUUUUGGUUCUUUUGGUGGACGUUCCUUCGGCCAAAGCAUGAAGACAUUAGAUACAAAAAAUAACAACAAUCAAAACAAUCAAUACAAUUUACCUUGGGCCAGACAGGUUUCCAUCUUGAUCUUUUCCUUUCCAUGGACUCGCAGCAAUUAACAUGUUUAUAACAAAAAUCAUCAACUUUAAUGUUCAUUCUGUCAAAAACUGGUGAAACGUUUAAACCCAAACCGUAAACAGUCACAAAUGAAACUAACCUAUUUUUGUGGCUAUGAAUUUUUGCAAAAGCUUACAAUUGAAUCGACAAGCUCAUUGUAAAACUAAAACUAAGCUAUUCACAAUGAAACAACAAAAGGAGCUGAAAAAGAUUAAAAUCAGGUUAAUUUGGUUUCAAUCCUUGACAAUUUUCCAAUGACAAGUAAUGGCUAAUACAAGUGGAUGAGCUGAUUAACCUGUUAUUAAAGCCAUCAGUAGCCAAAGUUUAAAACAAUCUUCUGUAUUAAACAAUAUCAUCGGAGCAUCCUCAGCCUUCUUCAGCAUCUUUAUCCUCAUCCUUGUUCAUUUUUUCAAGCAAUCAAUAGGCGAACUUGCGCAACUAUACUAAAUACCUGAAUCCAUCAUCAGAAGUGAAGUCAUUGAAACACCAAGAGAACCAUUUUUGUUAUUUGUGAUUUCUUUCAUUAGUCAAUUAAAUUGUCAUCUAAAUUGUUGUUGUAAAUCUGUUGAAAUCAUUGAUUUGUGAUUGCCAGUCAAUAGUGAUGAAGAUCAAGAAUGAGUCUAAAGGGAUUCACCAACGCAUUGUUACAAAUUCAUCCUCAAAAGCUCAUCUAACCUCAUCAACAUCAUCCUCAUCAUACUCGUCUGUCAAAGGAGAUGAUUUUGAAAUAAAAAGGCGAAUCAUUGCUGAUGAUGAUUAUGGUGAAAGAAACGAUGAUCACAACAAUAGAUCAACAUAUUCAUCAAACUCACCAACCUAUGAAAAUAACCAUUCAAAGCAACAGUCAACCUGCUCUUUUCAAGGUAAAAAAAGCUGUUCAACUUCCGAUACGCUCAUUGGAUUUAUACCUUUAAUCCUUUUGGUUGCCAUUUUGUCCUGCUUUGUGUUUGGCGUUUUCACCAUAAUCAAACUAGCAAUUAACCAUGCUUACAAAGAGGAUUACGAUUAGGCCAUUUCCAUGAUUGAUUAGGAUUGAAAGUUUGUCCAACAAUUUAAAUAAAGAAAGAAAAGAUGAAACCAAUUUCAAUGUCAAUUUAAAAUUUUAUUAUCAACUUUAAGAUGAUGGCGGCUUGGACACCUUUUUAAAUCAUAAUUAUGCAAAAGGAGAGAGAGAAAUAAAUUGAUUUUUAUAAAUCAAUUGAAAAUUAAGUAUCGAAAAGCCGUUGACAAAAAAUGACUCGAAUGAACAUUGUGCUCAAUCAGGUUGUUUGUACGAACAUAAUUGUUAUAAUUAACCUCAAACUCAAUCAGUUUUACAGCAAAAUUCAUUGCCUUCAAUGAAAUUGAAUGAGAGUGAAAAGAUGAAAAAAACAGGAAAAAAAGUUGUAAAAGCAAAGGUAAGGUUAAGUAGCUUUGAUUUUUAGUCAAUUAAUUAAUAAUUAAAACAAUUUUGGUUUUGGUAA